UUAGUUUUCGCGGCUUAAUUCUUUGUAUUGCCUUUCUCCCUCCACCUUCCUGCUAUUUUCUCUCUUUCUCUCUCCAAAUCUCCCUCUUGCUCUCGAAUUUUCUCAGAAUUGAUCGGGAUCAGUACAGUAACCUCCAUUCCCUCUCAAACUCCUCUCUCUGUCUCUCUCUCUCUCUCUCUCUAGAUCUCCCUCUUGCUCUCAAACUUCUUCUCAGAAGUGAGAACCGUAACCUCCAUUCCCCUCUCAAAAUCUUUUGUCCAUCCUAUUGCUCUCUCUCUCACGAAUUACCCAAACCUUUUGGUAUUCUUUUGAAAGGUUGCUUUGCAUCGGUGGUUCUCGUUGGAAGCGAGGGUACAGACAACAUAGCUGCUGAUGGCAAAACGGCUAUUGUCGAGGAAAUUCUGGUUCUGGUCGAAGCUAUCAAGGACGGAUCGAUGAAAGGGAAGGAAUUCGCAGUCUUAACGCUUCUGCAAUUAUGUAUGUUCGGAACAGGGGUUUGCUUGUAAGGGAAGGUGGAAUCCCUCCGUUGGUAGCUCUCUCACAGUCAGGAAGUGCCCAAGCGAAGCAAAAGGCUGAAACAUUACUUGGGUAUCUGAGAGAACCGAGGCAAGAGGCAUCCUCUUCUAAUCCUGUGGAGAGGUAAUGAAAUUUCAGCAGUGGGUACUUGUGUUCUUUACUGUGUACAUAGCUGAGUGAGUGUUCUGAUAAUGGUUUUGUUUGUACAGUCUGUAAACCAUGGACUGAGUUGUGGGGUCAUCUAAACUAGAGAUUUUGAUCGUGCA